AUAAUUAAAUAGUUAAUCGCUCGUAUAUCCUUGGUAAUAUGGUCCAAAAGUAUCUACCGGGUCACCGAAAAUGAUCUGACUACGUGCUUCAAGAAAUAAUAG
rnacentral:ncRNA from 2 species